UGGGGAAUAUUGCACAAUGGGCGCAAGCCUGACCCAGCAACGCCGCGUGAGGGAAGAAGGCUUUCGGGUUGUAAACCUCUGUCCUUGGUGACGAAGAAAGUGACGGUAGCCAAGGAGGAAGCCCCGGCUAACUACGUGCCAGCAGCCGCGGUAAUACGUAGGGGGCGAGCGUUGUCCGGAAUUACUGGGCGUAAAGGGUGCGUAGGUGGCCUUUUAAGUUGGAUGUGAAAUACCCGGGCUUAACUUGGGGGGUGCAUCUAAUACUGGAGGGCUAGAGUGCAGGAGAGGGAAGCGGAAUUCCUAGUGUAGCGGUGAAAUGCGUAGAUAUUAGGAGGAACACCAGUGGCGAAGGCGGCUUUCUGGACUGUAACUGACACUGAGGCACGAAAGCGUGGGGAGCAAACA
rnacentral:rRNA from 1 species